rnacentral:miRNA from 1 species
CGCCCCCUAUACGUCAUAAUUGAGUAAACUUUGACCCGGGACCUCAUAGUCAGCAGACACUUCCUGGGAGGGAGGGUCUGCUGCUGAUUGGGUGGAAUGUGUCUGCUGGCUGUGAGGUUCCGGGUCAAACUUUACCCAAUGAUGACGUAUAGGGGGCG